UUCUUCAGUGCAUCAUUAACCUUCCCACAAAUAAAACUUUGCUCAGCCUUGAACUCUUCCUGAAUGCACGACAAAGUCAUGGAGGCCCUCUCAGAGAGUACAGGAACUGUCUGAACUGAACCACAGGAAGAGGGGCAGAAUCGCAUCAGAUUGUGCACGAGGAGCUGCACAUUUAAAAUCCCACCAGUUUGAAACAUAAAUGGAUCUGUCUGCAGGGGAAGGGGCUUCAUGGAAAAGGUUGACAUGAAAAACUUCACUAGUGCAUCAGGAUCAGGAUGAUGUGCUGCGGUGGCUGCAACCAUGCAAGCAAGGUCUAGGCCCAACAUGUUUCUCUCAGCAUGGCAUUCUUGCCUUGCCAUUUCAACCGCUCCCCAAAGAUUGGCGCCCGUCAAGAACAGGUAACGCAUAGCCUGCUGUUCAGAGAUUGUGCAAAAGCAAGCGCGGAGGUAUGCAACAAGAGCAUUGAGGGAGCGGCACGCGACACGAACAAGGCUUCUUGAGCAUGUCAUCUGCACUGAAACCUCCUCUUGUGGUGGAAACAUGGUCUCAUACCAAACUGUGUUGAGGACAAUGUUGUGCACAGGGUUCUCAAAGGGGCCAUAGCAGUGGCCGGCCUUGAGGAGCCCCCUGUGGUAGCGCAUUCGCAAGCCAUCCAUCGGCAGGCAGGCAAUAACAUCAAGGUACAAUCCAUAGAUCUUGUCAAGCAGGAUGCUCUUCAAUGAUUUCAUCCGCACAAACGGCGGCUGCUUCUCCUUAAUCUCAAGUGACCGAGGAAGAAAGGUAGCUCCAACAAGGUCCACUGGUUCUUGUUGCUGGUGCUUCACCAAUCUGCUGAUGUUCUUGACGGCUCUGCACGAGAGGCAACCUUCCAUGCUUAGGAGAUUGGAAGCCUCCCCAAUCUGAGAAGCGAUGGAAUACAACCUCUCGACAAGGGAUUUGGGGUUUGGGUGCCACCCAGCAAUGGCGGCGCAAGUGAGGGCUGUCUCGGUGGUCAGCGAGGCGAAGCUGAAGGCGUCAGAGCUGCGGUCCUGCUCGAUGAGCCGCACGGCGACGGAGAGGUCGGCGUCGGCCAGCCGGAGAUACUCCAGCGCCUCACAGGUGUGGAGGUAGGGGAAGUAGUUGGUGAGGAAGGCGACGAGCGCCUGGAGCGACCGCGCGGCGACGCCCAUAGCGCCUUCCGCCGCCGCCGCCGCGUCGGGAUCGCCGCCGACUUGCCGUCGGGAUCGCCGCCGGCGACCACCGGGACGCGCUUCUUGUAGGUGAUGGUGUUGACGACGAUGUUGGAGACGGGGUCCAGGAAGCCGACGCAGAGGCCGGCCUUGAGGAGGCGCGGGAGCAGCGCCGGCAUCGCCUCCACGGGAAGCCGGUCCAGCGCCGCCGCGUAGAAGCCAUUGAUGGCGCCCAGUAGCU
rnacentral:sRNA from 1 species